rnacentral:lncRNA from 1 species
GUGCUUCAUCAACAAAACUUGGGUGAUCACUUCUCAUCCAGAAACUUAUAUGCUUGGAUGAUCGGGUCCUCCACAGGCUUGCUACAGGCCUUCUUCUUUUUCUCCAUAGCAGGAACCUUGCUGGAACACUACCCCACUUAAAAAGAAUGAGGGUAGAUCUCUUGAAUCUUGGGGAUUUAAAAUCCUUGAAGUACCUCAUAACAAGGGUGUUACGGGGCCUUCUUCUGUUGUUGUUGCUUGACCAGGCUGCAGAGAGAUGAUUGACACAGGGUUGAUUCUGGGACAACCUUCUUCUCAUCUUCUCUUCACUAUCUUAUUUUCACUGACCCUUUCUUUCUCUUUGCUCUUCCCACUGGAGGAUUCUGUCAAAGAGUAUUACUAUCAUACACUGGAGGAAACCAAAGACUAUGAACCAUGUGCAACAGUCUUCAACCCAAGAAUCACCAAGCAUUGUGAUCUUAGGGGCGAGUGAGUGGAAAAAUGGAGUUGCUUGCGAUUUGGCAGAGGGGAUUUUAUUGGGACUGUUUUUCUUUGAGCGAGAUGGGGAUUGAGGGAGAUGGUGGGGGGAAUUUUAUAGGCGAGCGGUAUGCAAGGGUGUGGAGCAGGUGCUAUGAGGCAGUGGGUGCGAUGGAGGGGGGCCUGUUGCCGGCGACAAUGGCGGCGGUGGGUGCGCUGCAAAGGGGUGUGGGGAGGUGGUAGUGCGCAUGGAGGCGGGCACACGUGCGGGGGGCACGGGUGGGUUGUGGGGUCGAUGACCCUGAUGUUUGUGGACUCUGGUUCCAAGAAUCUUUGCCUCUCUAUAUGGUAAUAACUCCUAUCAUCUUUUCCUGUUUACUUUGACUCGGGGGCAGUGCUUUGAUUCUCACGGUCAGUCCUUUUGACUGAGCGGCUAGACUGGUUUCUUCUAUAGCUUGUUCCAGGCUUCAAGGGUAAGCUUCCCGAUAUCCUCUUGGGUAAGGUGCUUUUCUCUUAAGAUGGGUUAAGAUGAGAAUGGAAGCAUAAGGUGAGGAUUAGCUCUAAUUUGUUAUCUAUGUUUUUAGAAAAAACCUUUCUUAAAAAGAAAGAAAACACACAAGCUAAGCAAUGAUCAGCACAAACAAAUCAAAUGUUUUGAAUAGGGGAAGAAUAGAGUUU